rnacentral:lncRNA from 1 species
CAAAAGAGAAGGCCAAAGGAAUGGGUUGCAAACAGCCAACUCCAGAGCAAAGUUGAAAAGAAAAAUGGAUACCAAUGCUCUCUCUCCUUCUCUGGACCAUUAAUUUUGACUAUGUUUCCGAAUGCUUGUAUUUAGUACAAUUAAAAGUUACUCUUUUUUGUUUUUCCUUUUUUUGUUUUUUGUUUUUUUGUUAGUUUUUUAACAGCUGCAAGGCCACAAGCUAUGCAAGGCUACAAGUUACGGUCUCUUUGGUCCUCUGCUUCUUGCAACAUUAUUGACCAGCCAGCUAGGAGAGGAGAUGACAGGUUUACUGUCUCCUUUGCCUCUAGGAGCUUAAGCCCUGGGUCUCAGGAGUCCUGAGACCCAGCAGCACCAUCGGGAGAAAUUCAGCCUGGUUGGGAGAUCAGCCCAUUUGUGACCCAGUGCCCCUACCCAGCAAUGCAAUGGUAUCUAAUGGGCUACAGGAUGAUUGCAGGAACAGCUCACUUCAGAAACCACAGUAAGGAAUCAUGCCUUAAUCGAUCCAUCAUGGUUUGCUGAAACAGGCAGCUAAUCAUGCAACAAGACAGAGUUGUCACUGAGAACAACAGCCCUGCUCUGGUCCCUCCAAAAGCCGACGAAUCCACACAAGACUAAAGAUGAAGAAGAGGACAACAAGCCCAGCUCUAAUCACACUCCAGAAGAUAACUAGUCUACGCACAGCCAAAACUUAAAAACUCAUCAGUCUUUCCCAGAGACAGAUUGAACUUCAAGGUAAAAGUGAAUUUUCAGAUGCGGACAAGCUAACUUCUAAGGAUUAUGAGUAAUUCGACUCAUCUUUUAAAUAUCCAGAAAACCUCAUUUUUAGUGAAAGAGUGGAGAUAAAAGAAUAUUAAGAGUCCAGAAACUGGUGUUCUGGCUGUGGCCCUGCCUUAGACUGUCUCACUUUGUAGUCACUUUGUAAGUGUAAAAUAAGCAUGUAGAGCAUAUCAUCUCUGUGGUUCUUUCCAGCUUGAGAAAUCUUUAUAUUUGUAUGUAACCCAUUGGUUAGUCUUGUAAAAGUCAUCUUCAAAUCUGGAAGUAUAAUAUUUUGAAAAGUCAAUGAGAGGGCUCCGUAAAUUUCGUGAAUAUCUGUUAAAGUAUUUGGGUGAAAUCACUGACAUUUCAAAAGAAUUCAGAUUAUUGUCAACAAGCCAUAUGGAUUCUUCACUGUCACUGGGUUGACUUUCUUGUUGGGAAAUCUAGUUUUGUAAACAAAGUUAAUUCUUUUAAGUACAAGAAGACUCUGACAAGCUAAUACAUUGGCAAGUGGUUAUGUUUGGAAAUUCACAAAAUCCGCUCAGGAAAAAGUCCACCUAGUUACUUUGGCUGCAGUUCCCAUGCUCCAGCCAGUUGCCCCCACAUGGCACUGUGGCCCUCCCACACUGUCAUAAAGCCUGAUAUGCUAUUCAAAACCCAACUGAAAUGCCAUAUCCUCCUUAUUUCUGAAGGAGGUUAUUGCUAAGGAACGACUCAUGGGAAAACCAUUUGUGCCUCAUGCAGAUGCAGGAAACGUGCCCGGGCAUCUUGAAAUGGAUGAGUUCUCUUCUGGAGAUAUGUCUCAUGUGUACGCAUAUCUGGAGAUAUGCCUCUUGUGGGUGCUGCUGCAGCUGCUGUGCCCAUCUCAUAUCAAUACCCAAGCUUUUCUCAUGACGAACCAGAUGACUCUUGGUAACCAGGUUUGCUCCCCAGCUUCUAAUUUCAAUAUGAUGAGAAGUUACAUAACAUUUACUCCUUUGUAAAGGUUUCUCUGUCAUCAGACAAAACUCUGAAUAGAAACCGGUGGGUAAUCCAGUGUACUGGUUUUUCCUAAUGUAUUUGGUACUAUAGUGUAUGAACCGAGAAUAAUCGAGUCAAGUGAAACCCCCUUUUCCAGUCAUAAAAUGUCUCAUUCAUUAUACUAAAAGGAGCUGUUCUUUUAAAAAAGCCUUCUUAUUUUUCUACUAAAUUUUUAGAUAAGUAUAACCUACUAUAUUCCUCAAAUCUAGGCUUACAUUUGAGAAGGGUAAGCUGUGUUUUUUCCUCCGAAGAGUUGGGCUGUGAUCUUUACAACGAGACGUCGUUUUUCCCAGCAUAUUUCUGUUUUCUACCUAAACAUUAAGAUACACAUUUUUCUAGGCAUUAGAAAUAGUACAAUAUUGCCUGUGGUCUUUCCAUUUGACACCUGUGGCUGGAAUAUAUGUGUCGCUCCAGAAUUUAUAUGUUGGAAUUUAAAUGCCCCUGUGUGAUAGAAUUAAAAAGUGGGGACUUUGGGAGGAGGUUAAGAGUGCAAUUAGAGACCUUAUAAAAGAACUCAAUGGAAGUAGCUAGGCUUUUUAGCCCUUCCACCAUUAGAGGACACUGUAUUUGUCCUCUCUGGAGAACACAGCAACAAGGUGCCAUCUUGGAAGAAGAGACCCACCUUCACCAGACAUUGGACCUAUUAGUGCCUUGAUCUUGGACUUCCCAGUGUCUAAAACUGUAAGAAAUUUAUUUCUUUCCAGUUUCAUAAGUUACCCAGUCCAAGGUACUGUGUUAUAGCAUCAGGAACAUACUGAGAUGGCAUAUUUAUUGUGGAAAUUUUGGUCCUCAUACUUAAUGAAUGGGCUUCAAGUAUUUCGUUAGUUUUUAAAAACAGGGCUCCUCCUUUACAAUUGAUCUCAUUUUUAUUUUUUAAAAGUUAGCUUUUACAACAUAGAACUGGAAAAAAUCUCUACUCAGACCUCUAGAGUGUCCUAGAUUUUGUGGCAGAAUCACUAUGGAUAAUUUAUAGGUGCUUGUGAUCUCAUCUGUGUAUUAUUUACAGUUUCCUCUAUCUAUUCAUGUGACAAAUAAUUGCACAAAACGCUACUUAAACAAUAGGCAGUAAGCAGUGUGACAGAUAGCACACUAAUUGAACUGCUGACGGUUUUUCUGUCAUGCCAGAAUAAAGGGUGAUGAUCCAGAGUCAGCACCUCAAUUAGGAGUGGCCAUGUGUCAGUAGUGACAAAUCCUAGGCCUCACUAAGGAAGGUCAGAUGCAGAGAAUCCAAAUUCAGAAUUAUGUUGACAGAUAAGGAGUUCAAACAGAUUAUAUAAUAAAAUUCUGAGUAACAUAUUUAGCUCUGCAACUCUAGAGAGUGACAGAACUGGUUUUCUAUAUAUUUCUGAGUAAAUCUUUCCAUUUUUAUACCUUUGAUUUGAAAAAUAAACAACUACACACAGGCCUUGAUCGUUUGUAAUUUGCAAAAGUUCAAGCCUUGUUAAUCUCGUAGGUAGGUGGCAUUUAUUUAUUUCAAAACUAAUCAGAAAAGCUAUUACUUUCUACAGAAAACCACAGAAGUGCUAGGGGCACUUUUAUGCCCAAUACAGCCCAAUAGGCUAUAAUAUUUUCUUAAAUUGCUGAAGAGAUUUUUGCCAGAAAUAAACAAAGUAGCGCUCACGGACUUGAUUUCCACACCAAUGUGCAAUCUUUACUAUGCACAUUAUUCCAAAGUGACACCACACUGAGGACAAAGAAAGAUUGGAUGUACAUAUGGUAAAAAGGCAAGUGAAUGAAGCUAUACUUUUAUUUCAUUUCUCUUACUACAUCCGCUACUAUUUUCACCAAUAUAGAUCUUUAAGCAUACACAAAUAUUGACUAUUAUCUACAAUUAUUUAUUGUAACACUUGAGUAGAACUAUAGGAAGCCUUUGACACUGAUUGAAAGUAUGGAUUCACUGUUAGGUUACAAAAAUUUAUACAUAGCAAAAUUUAAUUCUCUUUACAUUAAAAAUACUAGGCUACAUAAACAAAACUUUCAAAAGUUUCUGAUAAUAGCUACCAGAAUUAGAAAUGUAAAAUUAGGCUCAAGACACUAACUCUUCUGGAGUACUGGACUCUGAAGGCACCACCAUUGCUGGAAAGAAUAGUUAAAUCUGUCAUGCAAGAGGAAAAUAAAACACGUAGCUAUUUUUAGAAUAGCCAUUCUGUACAGAAGAGCGCUUCUCCCAGUUAAAAGAAAAAAUCCCAAACAGGUGUUUUUAUGGAGUAACAAAAAGAAAAAGAAAAAAAAAAAAAAGAUCUGCUGAUGUAUGAUACCUGAUGUUCAAAUUUAAUAGCAUCCAGAUAAAAGUUUACUUUUGUUAAUUUUGAAUAUAUUUCUGCAUUGUGGUGUUCUAAAACCCAGGAAACAGCCAAAUCACAAGUUACCAUUUAACAUAAACAUACAUAGUGGAUCCUAUAUUAAGCAACCCAUUUGGAAAGCACUGAUGUACCCAACAGUUACAUAUAGCAUUUCAUAAAGAACUGCACGGAGUUUACCAUUGCUAACACCCAGUACCUAUAGUCACCUAAUGUCUGGAACACAGUAAUGCAGAUGGCAAGUUUCUUUUGAAAAUGACUUAAGUAGUUUUCUUGUGGAACAUCAAACUUUAUUAUUCCAAGAAAUUAAGAUAUAGGUAAGAAAAAAUGAAAUGCCAACCCUAAUUUAAAUUAUCUACAUCUUCAAGUCUGUUAACAGUAGGAGGUUAGAUGUCUGUGGCCAAUUUUAAAUUAGGUUUCAGAUAAUUGAUAUGAAACUGUUUACACAGACCACUGAAAAAUGGUUUAAAAAGGUGGUCGUUUGAGUAAGGUAACAAUUCUUAAUUAAAAAAAAAUAUACAGAACAAAAUUCUAUUAAAGAUAUUUGCAUCUCUGGUUAUGAUACAAAUUCUGAAAAAUGUAUAUACCAAAUACUCCUUAAGGCAGAGCUGACAUUUAACUCUUGAGGAUAAUAAAAACUGGAUCAGUAUUUUGUUGAAAUAAAACUUAUGAUAAAAGUGCCUCUGGAAUUCUUGUCAAUGAAUCCGAAUCCAGAUUCUUUAGUAGUAGGGUCAGCAAAUGGAGCUAAUUUUAGCAUUAUUGAAAAAUAUUUUCUUAUUGGCUGAGGAAAUUAAUGGAACACGGACUUGGGAGAGAAAGCUAGUACAAAAAGUCAAUCAUGAGACGAAUCACACUACCUUUGAGCCAAAGUUUAAUAAAUGUCAGCAGUCAGAAUUGAAACUGCACAACAAUUUCAGUUUAUUUCCUAUGUAGAUAACACUUAACUGAGAAUAAAUGACGUACAUGUAAAUGUAUGGUCUCAUCUUUUGAUGCCGGCAUGUCACCAGUCCAUAUCAAAGAGUACCACAUAUUACACUGAGUGUUUUGGGAGAAAUGUUCUAGCAGUAAAUGUGAAUGUGCCCCCAGUUUCCAAAGAGUGAAAGGUCAUUUUGUCAAAGUGUUGCCUUUUAAAAUGGCUAACAUGAAACUUCCAAUAUUUGCUCUAAAGAAAAAGAUUUCCUCACUGCAAGGUAUUCCAGGCGCUGCAUCCCAGCAGCUUGAGAGAGAAAGUGAGGUGUUUGAAUGUCUACAUUAGUUUGGUGGAAUACUCAUGUGUAAUGCAGAGCAGCUGUCUCAUAAUUUGUCAGGGCUGUAAAUGCAUUGACUGAAAGCCCCCCGGCAAACAUUCGUG